AAUUUGUUUGCGUAAUCCACGGAAUUCCCCCAUCCCCGGCCGCCGGUAACUCCGUUCUGGGUCGCAGAUUUCCACUUAGGUAGGAGUUAGCCGAUAGUUUGGAAGAUGCAGACCCGAUGCCUUUAGCGCUGUUGUCGAGGCUUGAGGGACAGCCAUAGUCGCCGGCGAAUCAAAACUGCGGGCCUGGGCCGCCUGGCAAUUAGGCGACGGCAGCCCUAGGAGGUCCGAAUGUGAGAUCCGGCGAAGGAAGAAUGAUUCGCCGACAUUUCUGCACAAUCCUCGGGGAAGGUCAAACCGGAUGCCCCUAGGUGCACGAGAUAAUGCAGAGUUUUUUUUCUCAGUUCAACGUGGCCAUCAUUUUGCUCGGCAACUAAGAAUGUUCAGAAGGCAGGUGGCAUGGUUGAAUAUUGCAGUUGAGGCUAGACAGUGCCGCCCACCCACCCACACAAUAGAAGCCCAUGUGCCUCACGGAUGAGUGGCCUCAAGCAAUCUAUCCGCAAAUUUACAGAAGAACCUACUAAGAGUGUGGUGAAACCAGAACUUGGUUUGAGUUUCGACUAGUUGGGUGAGGCGUAUGACUUUGACAACUUUUGUUCAGCGGAGGUUGGCUUUGGGAUAUGGUAUGGCAAGAGUAGACUGCAUCCUGAGAGAACCAAUUUAGUGCAAGAGAUCGUGUAUGGCUCUUUGGUGAGAGAUAUUUGUGUUCAUCUGAAUUUUGUUUUCGAUGACAGUGCUUUCUGACGGAGGGAUUAACAUGGAUUAUUUAUUAUGUGGACUUGAUGUGCACGGACGAGCAAGUAGAAAGUUUUGAGUGGGUGUUUGCACAAUUUCUUAUUAUGAUGGGUGGACCUGCUCCAAAAACAAUACUCAUAGGUUUUGCACUGUACUAACUUGGGGCGGCAAUAUUCAUUUCUGGUUUUCUUGCAUUUGAUAUAGCUGACUAGUUGUUUUUGACAGUCUUUGCAGACUAUAUCAUAGCUAAGCCGGCCAUUGCCAAAGUGUAUCCACACAGUGUGCACAGAUGGUGCAAAUGGCACAUACUGAGAAAGCAAAGGAGUGUCUGGGUCCGUUGUGCAUGAAGAAGAAUGAGUUCAGACCUGAGUUUCACAAGGUUGUGAACCACAUGUUGAUGAUCGACGAGUUUGAGGCUGCUUCAGGCAGGAGCACUAUAAAAAGGAUGGUACAACCAGCCAGUUGGUUCUCAAAACUUUGUUCAGAACAGAGCAGGUAGAGCGUGCAUGGCUCCCGCGGCAGUCGUUGGUGAAGCAAGUGGUAAGAUAACGACGACGGGUGAAGUUUCAGAAGAAAAAAAAAGACGACGGGUGGCACUGAGCAGCGUAGGGGCGAUGUCACUGAGGACGGCCAUGAAGCCGGAGGCGUGGACCACGACCGGCGAGGAGGGUGAAGAGCAGUGGGAUCAAUACGAGCGUGAGGUGUUGGAGUUUGAGGAGGAAGCAUGGAAGACCUCCGCAAAAGGCGGGGAAUCUAGCACGGUCAAGCUGGCGGGUGAGGAGAGCUCGAUCCAGCCGGCGCAGUCAUUAUCAACGAUGUACCAGCCUUCUUGAUAGCGUUGGCGGCGCUGAAAAGCUGGAGGAAUCAGAUACAGAGGAGAUGAGCAGAGGUCUGGCUAAGCGAGGGCGAAUUGAACCAUAGAUGGACUUUGAUGUUGGGGAGAUAGCAACGUUGCCACUGACCAUUUUGGAUGGCACGUACGUUGUGUACUGAUUUGUUUUUCCGAUUAGUUGUUUACUGAUUCGUGACACCCUUGUGCGUGAAAGAAAUUUGUUGGGAGCAGGCUGUUCAAACUAAAGGAAUCCAAAAUCCCUAGCCUUUUGUAAACUGUUGUACAGCCAGAAACUUAAUGGCCCAUGGUUGAAAUGGCGUGGAAUGUUAAUUUGUGCAUGUAUGUUUAUCA